rnacentral:rRNA from 1 species
ACUGAACGCUGGCGGCAUGCCUUACACAUGCAAGUCGAACGGCAGCAUGGAGAGCUUGCUCUCUGAUGGCGAGUGGCGAACGGGUGAGUAAUGCAUCGGAACGUACCGUGUAAUGGGGGAUAACGUAGCGAAAGUUACGCUAAUACCGCAUACGAACUGAGGGUGAAAGCAGGGGAUCGCAAGACCUUGCGUUAUACGAGCGGCCGAUGUCAGAUUAGCUAGUUGGUGAGGUAAAGGCUCACCAAGGCGACGAUCUGUAGCGGGUCUGAGAGGAUGAUCCGCCACACUGGGACUGUGACACGGCCCAGACUCCUACGGGAGGCAGCAGUGGGGAAUUUUUGACAAUGGGGGCAACCCUGACCCAGCCAUGCCGCGUGAGUGAAGAAGGCCUUCGGGUCGUAAAGCUCUUUCGGCCGGGAAGAAAUCGCACAGGCUAAUACUCUGUGUGGAUGACGGUACCGGCAUAAGAAGCACCGGCUAACUACGUGCCAGCCGCCGCGGUAA